AAAUAAAUAAAUAAAAAAGGAAAAAUUGUUUUAAAAAAAGGUGUGUAAGGCCCAUUACAAUUGGAACUCUGGCUUUGUUGUCAUGGUUUAUCCCGUUGGAGAGCACUCUUGGCCAUCACAGUGGUAAAUUGAUGGUCUAAUAAUUUCAUUAGAUGACUUCCAGGGGAGAAACAGGUGUUAGUCAAUUCAUUAUGCUCUGGGACUAUUUCCAAAAGAUUUCAUCUUGGGACUCCCUCCUACUUCUUUCUUUCUUUCCUUGGCUCAAACAGUGAGAUCACAAGUCAUGUUGGGUUGUUGGGAGAGUCAAAGGGAGUGGUUGUCAAGUGGCACCACGAGACUUGGACCAGUUUCCAUUUUGCAGGCUCUGUGCUUAUCAGUCUCACCGACCCUGCUCACUAUUUACCUGUGGCACCUGGUCUGCUUGUUUUUGGCAUCCACUUUUUUGUUUGUUUUUUUCAGUCAUGACUAAGUAUUUUGUUGGCUACUAGUAACAGAAACCCCAACGCCAACUGGCUCAAGCAGAAAAGGGGUAAUUGGCUCACCAUUUCGAAAACUCCAAUGCUAGGAUUAGCUUCAGGUGUGGCUGGAUCCAGACGCUCUGAUGACAUUAUCAGUGUUCUCUCUCUCCAUCUCAUCUCUGCCUUCCUCUGUGUUGACAUUCUCAGAUGGACUCUCCUCUCAUGAUGGCAAGAUGGAUUCUUUGAGCUCCAGGCUUAUGUCCUCACAGUGAUAAGAGGGGAAGAAAGAUCCCCUCCCCCCCUCCCCGUAGUUUCAACGUGAGUCCCCAUCUUGAAGCUUAUUGGCUAUUUGGAUCAUAUGACCAAACCUGAGCCAAUCACUGGCCAGGAGGAGGAAAUAUGUUGAUUGAUUAGGCCUGGGUCAUAUAACCCCUUCAGGUGCGGAACCGGCUGCACACAGUAAUAGGACUGAGGGCUGGGGAGGUAGGCCCUGGACGGGCAGGUGGUUUCCUUUAAAAAGCUGGAGGCAGCAACCAGCCCUGUUUCGUUUCCUCUUUUCACAGGUGCUGGCCCCUUCUCUCCUUUCCUCCCAUGCCCCUUCUUUCUCUCUGUAGCCUCCCUGUGCCUGUCUCCUGCUCCCACCCCAGCACAACAGAGUCUAGGUCUGUUUUCCGCUGCUAAGUGUGUGAUAAUUUAUUAUGCAGCAAUAGAGCACUAACACACUCGGCCAGUGGCCCAGGCCUCAGUGUGCGGCACACUCUACUUAGCACCUCCACAUGUGUGAGUUCUGUCUUCUCAGCCCCACUCCGGUCCUUGAGGGUGGGAAUCUUCCUCCUUUAUCUCCUCUGUAUCUCCCACCCCUUGGUCCCAACUACAGGGUAAGGGUUCAAAAAAGUGCUCAUUUGAAUUCGGC
rnacentral:lncRNA from 10 species